rnacentral:rRNA from 1 species
GGAAUUCACUAGUGAUUCCGGCCUAACACAUGCAAGUCGAGCGGUAACACAAGGAGCUUGCUCCUGGGUGACGAACAGCGGACGGGUGAGUAAUGUAUGGGGAUCUGCCUGAUGGAGGGGGAUAACUACUGGAAGCGGUAGGUAAUACCGCAUAAUGUCGCAAGACCAAAGAGGGGGGCCUUCGGGCCUCUUGCCAUCAGAUGAACCCAUAUGGGAUUAGCUAGUAGGUGAGGUAAUGGCUCACCUAGGCGACGAUCCCUAGCUGGUCUGAGAGGAUGACCAGCCACACUGGAACUGAGACACGGUCCAGACUCCUACGGGAGGCAGCAGUGGGGAAUAUUGCACAAUG